CUAAAACCUCAUUGCAAGCCAAGUCAUUUGUCCCUAGAUGGACAAGUACAUCCAAUUCUCCUUCUUGCUUUGCUCACUUAAUACUUCAAAUACAUCUCCUGUCUCUGGGAAGACAUCUUACAACACCCUUAUCGUCCAGCUCCACACCUCUUAUGAUAGAAUCCCUAAACUGCCUUCUAAUAGGCUUCUAGUCUCCACAACACCACGACCCUCAGUACCUGAACCUGUCUCCAUAAACACUCUGAAAGUUCUG